AGUAUGCUUACUAAUGACUCAAACUAAACUUGGAAUCCUAAAAGGAGAGUCUGCAGAAAUUAUCCACCCCACUCCCCCAACACACACCCAGAGCCAUUUGCAUCACAGCAAGCAGUUCCAUUUUAAGGAUAAUGUUUUCAAGGUGUAUCCAUAUUGCAGUAUGUGAGAACUCCAUUCCUUAGUCGAUGGACAUUUGAAUGAUUUUCACCUUUGCCUAUUGUCAACAGUGCUGCUAUGAACAUCUGUGUACCAGUUUUUAAAACUAACUUAUUCUUUAAAA